rnacentral:rRNA from 1 species
UACGUAGGGUGCGAGCGUUGUCCGGAAUUAUUGGGCGUAAAGGGCUCGUAGGCGGUUUGUCGCGUCGGGAGUGAAAACACCGGGCUUAACUCGGUGCUUGCUUUCGAUACGGGCAGACUAGAGGCAUGCAGGGGAGAACGGAAUUCCUGGUGUAGCGGUGAAAUGCGUAGAGAUCCGGAGGAACACCGAAGGCGAAGGCAGUCUCCUGGCAAGUUACUGACGCUCAGGUGCGAAAGCUAGGGGAGCGAACAGG